rnacentral:tRNA from 1 species
GGGCCGCUAGCUCAGUUGGUAGAGCAUCGCCCUUUUAAGGCGAGGGUCCUCGGUUCGAGCCCGAGGCGGCUCACCA